rnacentral:rRNA from 1 species
CCUUUGUACACACCGCCCGUCGCUACUACCGAUUGAAUGGCUUAGUGAGGCCUCCGGAUUGGCUAUUGGGAUCCCUCGCGGGAACCUGACUGCUGAGAAGUUGUACGAACUUGGUCAUUUAGAGG